ACGGGGAGACCAAGGGGACUUGGAAAUCCUCAAUCAUUUGUCUGCAAUCUAAAACAGCUCAAGGAAAUAAAACCAUUAAUUACGUGUAUAAAAGGAAACUGCAAAGAGGCAUCAGGGUCUGGCACGGCUCCCAUCGCUGUUGGAGGGAACAAGGCUUGGGGAUCUACCCGUCCCUGGAGUCGCAGAUAGAGAAACAGGUCAUGAGGCCAGCUCCCCUGAUGAGCUGAUCAAUUGCUCAUCACCAUCCGUGGAGAUUCUUAAUUCAAGUGUGGCAUCUCAAUCAACAUCGCUGCCCUUCCCCAGCCAUCGAUGAACGGCUUGUGGACAAAUGAGCCCUUUGACUAGCCCCUGGCCUCCACGGGGCUGUGUUGCCUACCUGGGCUCCAUGCGCCUUCUGGUGGCCAUGGGGUGAAACACAGCCUAGAAAGCUUGGGCAGAGUGGAAGGACUAUAUGGCUAGUCUGGAGGGCCAGAGAUCAGAGGCCUCAUUCACCCUCCUCCGCUCCUUCUCUUUCUGGAAAAGGCUGGCACAGCUAACAGGUGAGGAGACUCCCUGGCUCCCUCAUCCCUCCCUACCUCAACUGCCCCUGGGCUCUAGGCCAACACUGCAGGACCCAAGACCCCUGGCAGUUUCUUGAGUGCACUCACUGCUUAUCCACAUUGGCUUCUGGACGAUCUGGUCAUCCGGUGACGGUCUCUCUCAUCGUAUUGGCUGCCUGGGCUAGGCAUGGCAGGUACCUGUGAGUGUGUGGACACUGACCACUGACCCCAACUUCUCUGUCUUCUGUCCUCCGCCUGGGGCAGUGACACCUGAGCUGUGAGGGUUCCACAGUGUGUGUGUGUGUGUGUGUGUGUGUGUGUGUGUGUGUGUGUGUGUGUGCCGGGGUGACCCUGCUACCAGCUCCCUUCUCUCCUUCCUCAGUUCCCAGCAGAGACCAGUAGACCCAAGGUCAGCGGUCUUCAUAUUGACAGCGUCUGU